GAUGAACGCUGGCUACAGGCUUAACACAUGCAAGUCGAGGGGAAACGCCGGGGGAGCUUGCUUCCCCGGGCGUCGACCGGCGCACGGGUGAGUAACGCGUAUCCAACCUGCCUCUGACUGAGGGAUAACCCGUCGAAAGUCGGCCUAAUACCCCAUGGCAUCGUCUGCGGGCGUCCAACGACGAUUAAAGAUUUCAUCGGUCAGAGGUGGGGAUGCGUCUGAUUAGCUGGUUGGCGGGGUAACGGCCCACCAAGGAGACGAUCAGUAGGGGUUCUGAGAGGAAGGUCCCCUACAUUGGAACUGAGACACGGUCCAAACUCCUACGGGAGGCAGCAGUGAGGAAUAUUGGGCAAGGGGGGAGAGCCUGAACCAGCCAAGUAGCGUGCAGGAGGACGGCCCUAUGGGUUGUAAACUGCUUUUAUGCGGGGAUAAAGUGAGGGACGUGUCCUUCAUUGAAGGUACCGAAUGAAUAAGGACCGGCUAAUUCCGUG
rnacentral:rRNA from 1 species